UCUUCUUUUGGUAGUCGACAGUAUGUGUUUCUUUACUUGUGAGUACAGUAGAGGGCUACCGGUGUUCUCUUAAAUUAAUAGCAUACAUUUAGUAUAUGUGGGUUCCUUUUUAAAUUGUUGCUCCUUUGUUUAUCAGCUCAAUUUGGAAUAGCUAAGCAAGUAAUUUUUUUGGAUUGAAUGCAAAGAGACUCUCCAUUCAGUCCUUAAAGUUAGUUGUAGCUCUGAUUAAAAAUGUUUCUGUAGUAGUAUAUUUCACUGUCGUUGUGGACUUCUGUAGUCAUAUACUUUUAUUAAUAGGAAAAUAUAACGAAUGGUAAUUUUAAAUUGCAGAUCCAAUGCAAUGAGAUUUGAUUGUUCUGGUUUGCGAUAUUGAACCUAUCAAGACAUUGAGUGAUGAUACACAUAAGUUAUAUAGAUGAGCUCCACAUGAAGUGCUUUGGAUGGACCGAACCUGAAGAUUUAGAAGAUCGGCUUUUUAUAAUGCGUUCUGUUUUCUGAAAGUGUUCAUAAUUUUGUUGUGAAGCACGUCGAUGAUUACAGCCCUGUACCAAAUAUAGCAAGAAUACAAGAUUAGCUAAACAUAAAAUCGAUGCAGCAGGUGGCCCUUUGAACCUGCAACUCAGUCAAGUUCGUAAGAUGCUUUUCAUCCUCAGGAACCAUUGGGCACCUUCAGCAUUUUGUGUAUCCUUCAAGCUCGAGACAGAUCCGGACAUCCUUCUACCGAAGGCAGAGAUGGCCUUAAGAAAGUACGGUAUGAAUGUCAUGGUGGCGAACGAGCUAGCGAACUACAAAGACGUGGUUGUCAAGGUCACAAGUAGCGGGAAGACAACUGGGAGCAGGCGGAGCAAGGCAGAUGACCUUGAGGAAUAGAUCAUCGUUCUCCUGGUAAAGAUGCACUCGGAUCACAUUACGCGGCCCAAUUCAGACCAAGAAACAUGAGACGUUUAUACUCAGAUGAGAAAGGCAAGUAUCUGCAAUCUCUAGUGGCAUCUGCAUCCAAGUAUGUUAGAAGCUGCAUAGAUCCGGGCAAGCCUGAUUCUAACUUUGUUUUCACAUGAUGUUGGCGGUGGGCAAUGCGACCUGCAAGAAUAGGAUGGAUCAUUAACAUCCUGUCCUGUUGUAAAUGGUGCUACAAAGAUAUACUAUCUGUUCAGGUGCACCAGUA